GAUGAAGAACGUAGCGAAAUGCGAUACUUGGUGUGAAUUGCAGAAUCCCGUGAACCAUCGAGUCUUUGAACGCAAGUUGCGCCCGAAGCCACUAGGCCGAGGGCACGCCUGCCUGGGCGUCACACGCCGUUGCCCCCCCAUCUACUCCUUCGGGAUUGCGGGGGGGCGGAUGAUGGCCUCCCGUGCGCCUAGCCGCGCGGUUGGCAUAAAUUCCAAGUCCUCGGCGACGCACGCCACGACAAUCGGUGGUUGCGAAACCUCGGUUGCCCGUCGUGUGCGUUCGUCGCGCAUCGAGGGCUCGAAAAAAUGCUCGGCUCCGGCUGGGCUUUCAACGCGACCCCAGGUCAGGCGGGGUUACCCGCUGAAUUUAAGCAUAUCAAUAAGCGGAGGA
rnacentral:misc_RNA from 1 species